GGAGUGGUAGCUCAGUUGGUUAGAGCGCCUGCCUGUCACGCAGGAGGUCGCGGGUUCGAGUCCCGUCCAUUCCGCCA
rnacentral:tRNA from 1 species